CUACGGGAUGCAGCAGUGGGGAAUAUUGGACAAUGGGGGAAACCCUGAUCCAGCAAUGCCGCGUGUGUGAAGAAGGCCUGCGGGUUGUAAAGCACUUUCGGUUGGGAGGACUGCUUCUAGCACUAAUAUUGUUGGAAGUUGACGUUACCUUCAGAAGAAGCACCGGCUAACUCCGUGCCAGCAGCCGCGGUAAUACGGAGGGUGCAAGCGGUAAUCGGAAGUACUGGGCGUAAAGCGCGCGUAGGCGGCUAGAUCAGUCGGGUGUGAAAGCCCCGGGCUUAACCUGGGAACUGCAUCCGAUACUGUCUAGCUUGAGUACAGGAGAGGAGAGUGGAAUUCCACAUGUAGCGGUGAAAUGCGUAGAUAUGUGGAGGAACAUCAAUGGCGAAGGCAGCUCUCUGGCCUGAUACUGACGCUGAGGUGCGAAAGCGUGGGGAGCAAACAGGAUUAGAUACCCCCGUAGUC
rnacentral:rRNA from 1 species